rnacentral:rRNA from 1 species
AAUAGAUACCCGGGUAGUCCACGCCGUAAACGAUGAGUGCUAAGUGUUAGAGGGUUUCCGCCCUUUAGUGCUGAAGUUAACGCAUUAAGCACUCCGCCUGGGGAGUACGGUCGCAAGACUGAAACUCAAAGGAAUUGACGGGGGGCCCGCACAAGCGGUGGAGCAUGUGGUUUAAUUCGAAGCAACGCGAAGAACCUUACCAGGUCUUGACAUCCUCUGACAACCCUAGAGAUAGGGCUUUCCCUUCGGGGACAGAGUGACAGGUGGUGCAUGGUUGUCGUCAGCUCGUGUCGUGAGAUGUUGGGUUAAGUCCCGCAACGAGCGCAACCCUUGAUCUUAGUUGCCAGCAUUCAGUUGGGCACUCUAAGGUGACUGCCGGUGACAAACCGGAGGAAGGUGGGGAUGACGUCAAAUCAUCAUGCCCCUUAUGACCUGGGCUACACACGUGCUACAAUGGACGGUACAAAGAGUCGCAAGACCGCGAGGUGGAGCUAAUCUCAUAAAACCGUUCUCAGUUCGGAUUGUAGGCUGC